rnacentral:misc_RNA from 1 species
UUUCCGUAGGUGAACCUGCGGAAGGAUCAUUAAUUAUAUAAGGCCCCAGGGCAAGCUUUCCGAAAGGAUCGAGCUUGCUGUGUGAACCCUACCUACCCUUGCUUUUUGCGUACCCAUUGUUUCCUCGGCAGGCUUGCCUGCCAUUAGGACCCUCUUAAACCCUUUGUAAUUGCAGUCAGCGUCAGAAACAACGUAAUCGUUACAACUUUCAACAACGGAUCUCUUGGUUCUG